ACCGUGGUCGCCACGGGUGACGGGGAAUCAGGGUUCGAUUCCGGAGAGGGAGCCUGAGAAACGGCUACCACAUCUAAGGAAGGCAGCAGGCACGCAAAUUACCCAAUCCCGGCUCGGGGAGGUAGUGACGAAAAAUAACGACGCUGGACUCUACGAGACCCAGUCGUCGGAAUGAGUGCGCUCUAAACCCUCGACGCGAGGACCCACCGGAGGGCAAGACUAAUGCCAGCCGCUGCGGUAAUUUUAGCUCCGGUAGCGUAUACUAAAUUUGUUGCAGUUAAAAAGCUCGUAGUUGGAUUCCUGCUCUGGACGUAGGGGGCCGCUAACGCGGUCCACCAUGCGCACCCGGCAUUCUGCCCGCCGCUCCCGAGAUCGUUGUCAAAGGCGGCUCGGGGUGGAUGGCGGAGAUCGCUUUGCAAAAAUUAGAGUGCUCUAGGCGGGCCACUAAGCUCGAAUAGUAAUGCACGGUACGAUGAAACAUGACUUUGGCUCUUAUUCGGUUGGGGCACGGAGACCGAGGUAAUGAUUAAUAGGAGCAGACGGGGGCAUUCGUAUUCCGACGCUAGAGGUGAAAUUCUUGGACCGUCGGAAGACGCACCACUGCGAAAGCAUUUGCCAAGAAUGUUUCCGUUGACCAAGAACGAAAGUGUGGGGCUCAAAGAAGAUUAGAUACCUUUGUAGUCUUGUACCCUAAACGAUACCCUCCAGCGAUCCGGCUGCGUACGAACGUGACGCGCCGGGCAGCUCUUCCGGGGAAACCAGAGUUCCGGCUCCGGGGGAAGUAUGGUUGCAAAGCUGAAACUUAAAGGAAUUGACGGAAGGGCACCACCAGGAGUGGAGCCUGCGGCUUAAUUUGACUCAACACGGGAAACCUCACCCGGCCCGGACACGGACAGGAUUGACAGAUUGAUAGCUCUUUCUCGAUUCCGUGGGUGGUGGUGCAUGGCCGUUCUUAGUUGGUGGAGCGAUUUGUCUGGUUAAUUCCGAUAACGAACGAGACUCUGGCAUGCUAACUAGUUACGCGACCCCCGAGCGGUCGGCGUCCCCCAACUUCUUAGAGGGACAAGUGGCGUUCAGCCACCCGAGAUUGAGCAAUAACAGGUCUGUGAUGCCCUUAGAUGUCCGGGGCUGCACGCGCGCUACACUGACUGGCUCAGCGUGUGCCUACCCUACGCCGGCAGGCGCGGGUAACCCGUUGAACCCCAUUCGUGAUGGGGAUCGGGGAUUGCAAUUAUUCCCCAUGAACGAGGAAUUCCCAGUAAGUGCGGGUCAUAAGCUUGCGUUGAUUAAGUCCCUGCCCUUUGUACACACCGCCCGUCGCUACUACCGAUUGGAUGGUUUAGUGAGGCCCUCGGAUCGGCCCCGCCGGGGUCGGCCCACGGCCCUGGCGGAGCGCUGAGAAGACGGUCGAACUUGACUAUCUAGAGGAAGUAAAAGUCGUAACAAGGUUUCCGUAGGUGAACCUGCGGAAG
rnacentral:rRNA from 1 species